CGUACUUGAAGUAGGAAAUAAGUUACUGUGUUGCGUACGAGCCAAUCACCAGCAGAACAAAACAGUUGUUUGUUUUGUGUUAUUUUUUUAAAAAUCAAAUCUUUUUGGCAUAUAUUUUGCAUCCCGAUCAACUCUCCGUUCCAGUAGGUGGCGCUUAUGCAGAAGAAGAAGAAAAAGAAAAAGCGGAUGAAGACGUUUCCUGCUGGACAUGUUAACACCAGAACCCUUGUGUUUUUCCAAACACGUCCCAUGUUGCUAUUGAGCACUUCUAGCUAGGUCAUUCAGUGACAUACAAGUAGAGAAUGGACCCAUUUAGAGACAAAGAGACAAGGUACGAAGCAUUUGUGGUGAUUAACAAACUACACGCAGGUGUUGGGGACAGGAAAUGGCAGCACCAACACAGACAGUUCAAGAAAAUAAAAAUAUAACCAAGUAGCCUACGCACCUUUGACAUUUGGGUGUCAUGAAGCAGUUUGCCAGGACCUCCACCUGGACUACAGCAGGAAGAUGAACUCUGCUGACUCCCAUCUGCCCACCACUCCACCACUGGAACGGUUCUCUGGCCCUGUCGGGCUCUUGGCCUCAUCUUCGCUGACUGAAGAUUGGCCAGAUGGCGUUAUCUAUGGACCAAUCAGGCGCCUGGAUCCAUACCUCAUCCCACAGGUCCUUCUGAUGGCCUUAGCUCAACCUUUGGUAGGCCAAAGAACUGCUGGACCAGAAACCUGGCUGUCCUCUGGCUCGGGAGACUUGAGGUUGGACCCGAUAGAACAGAGACAAAUUGAUUCCAGGAGACUACAAGGCACGGUU